GAUGAACGCUGGCGGCGUGCUUAACACAUGCAAGUCGAACGAUGAAGCUCAGCUUGCUGGGUGGAUUAGUGGCGAACGGGUGAGUAACACGUGAGUAACCUGCCCUUAACUCUGGGAUAAGCCUGGGAAACUAGGUCUAAUACCGGAUAGGAGCGUCCACCGCAUGGUGGGUGUUGGAAAGAUUUAUCGGUUUUGGAUGGACUCGCGGCCUAUCAGCUUGUUGGUGAGGUAAUGGCUCACCAAGGCGACGACGGGUAGCCGGCCUGAGAGGGUGACCGGCCACACGGGGCCGGCGCCACGCCCGGGCCUCCACCGGGGGCCAGAGGGGGGAAUUAUUGCAGAAUGGGGGAGGGCUGUAUGCAGCGCCCCGGGGGGGGGGAGGACGGCUUUCGUUUUGUAACCCUCUUGCAGAGGGAAAGAAGGGAAGGUGACGUUCCCUACAAAAAAAGCCCCGGCUAACUCCGUC
rnacentral:rRNA from 1 species